GAGGGUAUAGAUCAGUGGAAGAGUGCAUGCUUAGCAUGCGUGAUGUCCUGGGUUCAAUUCCCAGUACCUCCU
rnacentral:tRNA from 1 species